rnacentral:rRNA from 1 species
UACGUAGGCAGCGAGCGUUGUUCGGAGUUACUGGGCGUAAAGGGUGUGUAGGCGGUUGUUUAAGUUUGGUGUGAAAUCUCCCGGCUCAACCGGGAGGGUGCGCCGAAUACUGAAUGACUAGAGUGCGGGAGAGGAAAGUGGAAUUCCUGGUGUAGCGGUGAAAUGCGUAGAUAUCAGGAGGAACACCGGUGGUGUAGACGGCUUUCUGGACCGUAACUGACGCUGAGUGAGCGAAAGCCAGGGGAGCAAACGGG